rnacentral:misc_RNA from 1 species
GUGAAUCAUCGAAUUUUUGAACGCAAAUUGCACUCUCUUCGGAGAGUAUGUCUGUUUGAGGGUCAGCCUAAAAAAAAUCGACGAAGUCGCUGUUUCGCGGUGACAUUCGUCGGAAAUUGAGCGAUCUUAAACUUUUGGGUUUUUUAAGCGGCUUCAAAAUGUCUUUACGAUUCCACCAACGUGUCUAAGAUUUAACUUCUAACUCACGUUUAAGGUCUA